GACGAACGCUGGCGGCGUGCUUAACACAUGCAAGUCGAACGCCGAAGCUUGGUGCUUGCACUGGGUGGAUGAGUGGCGAACGGGUGAGUAAUACGUGAGUAACCUGCCCUUGACUCUGGGAUAAGCCUGGGAAACUGGGUCUAAUACUGGAUACGACAUGUCACCGCAUGGUGGUGUGUGGACAGGGUUUUCCUGGUUUUGGAUGGGCUCACGGCCUAUCAGCUUGUUGGUGGGGUAAUGGCUCACCAAGGCGACGACGGGUAGCCGGCCUGAGAGGGUGACCGGCCACACUGGGACUGAGACACGGCCCAGACUCCUACGGGAGGCAGCAGUGGGGAAUAUUGCACAAUGGGCGGAAGCCUGAUGCAGCGACGCCGCGUGAGGGAUGACGGCCUUCGGGUUGUAAACCUCUUUCAGCACGGAAGAAGCGAAAGUGACGGUACGUGCAGAAGAAGCGCCGGCUAACUACGUG
rnacentral:rRNA from 1 species